AUUGAACGCUGGCGGCAGGCCUAACACAUGCAAGUCGGACGAGUGGCGGACGGGUGAGUAAUGUAUGGGAAACUGCCUGAUGGAGGGGGAUAACUACUGGAAACGGUAGCUAAUACCGCAUACCAUCAGAUGUGCCCAUAUGGGAUUAGCUUGUGGGUGGGGUAACGGCUCACCAAGGCGACGAUCCCUAGCUGGUCUGAGAGGAUGAUCAGCCAAACUGGGACUGAGACACGGUCCAGACUCCUACGGGAGGCAGCAGUGGGGAAUAUUGCACAAUGGGCGCAAGCCUGAUGCAGCCAUGCCGCGUGUAUGAAGAAGGCCUUCGGGUUGUAAAGUACUUUCAGUCGGGAGGCGUUACCGGCAGAAGAAGCACCGGCUAACUCCGUGCCAGCAGCCGCGGUAAUUC
rnacentral:rRNA from 1 species